rnacentral:rRNA from 1 species
AGAAUCAACGCUGGCGGCGUGCCUAACACAUGCAAGUCGAACGAGAAAGUGGAGCAAUCCAUGAGUAAAGUGGCGACCGGGUGAGUAACACGUGACCAAUCUACCCUUGAGUGGGGGAUAACCUCGGGAAACCGGGGCUAAUACCGCAUAAUAUCCUUGGAACGGAAGUACUGGGGAUCAAAGGAGCAAUUCGCUUAAGGAGGAGGUCGCGGCUGAUUAGCUAGUUGGCGGGGUAAUGGCCCACCAAGGCAAAGAUCGGUAGCCGGCCUGAGAGGGCGCACGGCCACACUGGAACUGAAACACGGUCCAGACUCCUACGGGAGGCAGCAGUGGGGAAUUUUGCGCAAUGGGGGAAACCCUGACGCAGCAACGCCGCGUGGAGGAUGAAGUCCCUUGGGACGUAAACUCCUUUCGACCCGGACGAUAAUGACGGUACGGGUGGAAGAAGCCCCGGCUAACGUUCGUGCCAGCAGGCCGC